CCUAAUGGUUAAUACCCAUUAGCGAUGACAUUAGCUGCAGAAUAAGCACCGGCUAACUCUGUGCCAGCAGCCGCGGUAAUACAGAGGGUGCAAGCGUUAAUCGGAAUUACUGGGCGUAAAGCGAGCGUAGGUGGCUUGAUAAGUCAGAUGUGAAAUCCCCGGGCUUAACCUGGGAACUGCAUCUGAUACUGUUAAGCUAGAGUAGGUGAGAGGGAAGUAGAAUUUCAGGUGUAGCGGUGAAAUGCGUAGAGAUCUGAAGGAAUACCGAUGGCGAAGGCAGCUUCCUGGCAUCAUACUGACACUGAGGCUCGAAAGCGUGGGUAGCAAACAGGAUUAGAUACCCUGGUAGUCCACGCCGUAAACGAUAUC
rnacentral:rRNA from 1 species